UACGCAGGGGGCUAGCGUUGCUCGGAAUCACUGGGCGUAAAGGGUGCGUAGGCGGGGCUUUAAGUCAGGGGGGAAAUCCUGGAGCUCAACUCCAGAACUGCCUUUGAUACUGAGGAUCUUGAGUUCGGGAGAGGUGAGUGGAACUGCGAGUGUAGAGGUGAAAUUCGUAGAUAUUCGCAAGAACACCAGUGGCGAAGGCGGCUCACUGGCCCGAUACUGACGCUGAGGCACGAAAGCGUGGGGAGCAAACAGG
rnacentral:rRNA from 1 species